rnacentral:misc_RNA from 1 species
GAAAUGCGAUAAGUAAUGUGAAUUGCAGAAUUCAGUGAAUCAUCGAAUCUUUGAACGCACAUUGCGCCCGCCAGCACUCUGGCGGGCAUGCCUGUUCGAGCGUCAUUUCGACCCUCAAGCUCCGGCUUGCCGUUGGGGCGCCUCGGUCCAGCACCGAGGGCCCCGAAUCUCAGUGGCGGAGCCGCCGUGGACUCUGAGCGCAGUACCUAACCACGCUCCUGGGCCCCGGCGGCGCCUGCCGUUAAACAACCCAACGCAAGUCUUGACCUCGGAUCAGGUAGGGAUACCCGCUGAACUUAA